rnacentral:rRNA from 1 species
UUCGUAGGCGGUGCGGUAAGUUGGGAGUGAAAUCUCUGGGCUUAACUCAGAGGCUGCUUUCAAAACUACCGCGCUCGAGUGCGAGAGAGGUCAGUGGAAUUGCAGGUGUAGCGGUGAAAUGCGUAGAUAUCUGGCAGGAACACCCGUGGCGAAGGCGGCUGACUGGAUCGCAACUGACGCUGAGGAACGAAAGCUAGGGGAGCAAACAGGAUUAGAUACCCUGGUAGUCCUAGCCCUAAACCAUCAGAACUUGGGGUGGCCCGCGUAGGCGGGUCGUCCCGCAGCUAACGCGUUAAGUUCUGCGCCUGGGGAGUACGGUCGCAAGACUGAA